rnacentral:rRNA from 1 species
AUUGAACGCUGGCGGAAUGCUUUACACAUGCAAGUCGAACGGUAGAGGGGGCAACCCCUCGAGAGUGGCGAACGGGUGAGUAAUAUAUCGGAACGUGCCCAGUCGUGGGGGAUAACGUAGCGAAAGUUACGCUAAUACCGCAUACGAUCUACGGAUGAAAGCGGGGGAUCGCAAGACCUCGCGCGAUUGGAGCGGCCGAUAUCAGAUUAGGUAGUUGGUGGGGUAAAGGCUCACCAAGCCAACGAUCUGUAGCUGGUCUGAGAGGACGAACAGCCCCACUGGAACUGAGACACGGUCCAGACGCCUACGGGAGGCAGCAGUGGGGAAGUUUGGACAAUGGACGCAAGUCUGAUCCAGCCAUUCCGCGUGCAGGAUGAAGGCCCUCGGGUUGCAAACUGCUUUUGUACGGAACGAAAAGGUUUCCAUUAAUACUGGGAGCUCAUGACGGUACCGUAAGAAUAAGCACCGGCUAACUACGUGCCAGCCGCCGCAGUAA